GAGGGGAGGCCGGAUCCUGGGCUGUGUCCCGGCGCCCUGUGCUCCGGGGCCUGCGCUGUUGGAUUUGCCCCGCCCCGCAGCCCCCU
rnacentral:pre_miRNA from 1 species